GACGAACGCUGGCGGCGUGCUUAACACAUGCAAGUCGAACGAGAAGAGAUGAGAAGCUUGCUUCUUAUCAAUUCGAGUGGCAAACGGGUGAGUAACGCGUAAGCAACCUGCCCUUCAGAUGGGGGACAACAGCUGGAAACGGCUGCUAAUACCGCAUAUGCCUAAGUAUCACAUGAUACAAUAGGGAAAGGAGCAAUCCGCUGAUAGAUGGGCUUGCGUCUGAUUAGAUAGUUGGUGGGGUAACGGCCUACCAAGUCGACGAUCAGUAGCCGGACUGAGAGGUUGAACGGCCACAUUGGGACUGAGAUACGGCCCAGACUCCUACGGGAGGCAGCAGUGGGGAAUAUUGGUCAAUGGGGGAAACCCUGAACCAGCAACGCCGCGUGAAGGAAGAAGGCUUUCGGGUUGUAAACUUCUUUGACGAGGGACGAAGGACGUGACGGUACCUCGAAAACAAGCCACGGCUAACUACGUG
rnacentral:rRNA from 1 species